CAGACCUGCCUGCUGCUGCUCCCUGCUGGGACGUCAGGCAGGACACUCAGCUCCAGCACACUUGCUGGAUCCUGUCCCUUUUGAGUAGGAUUACAAGCCUGAGGAUUAUUGGCUCCCCUUGUCAUCCUUGAUUCUUUCCUUCCAGGGAAGUUCUCAGAGGAGAAGGGUAUGCUGUGGACUGUAGCCCUAUUUGUAGCUUUCCUUGCUCCUGGCAUUCCAGUAACUGCCAACCCAGAACAAAGGACAGUGGACAUUCACUCAGCUGGGUCAUCUGCUACAAUCUCUUGUGGGAUUUCUCAACAAAGUGACUACAUCCACUGGUACCGAUACCAGGAGGGAAAGGCCCCACAACGCCUUCUCUACUACGUGUUCUCUAGCUCUUCUGUUGCGGUGGAUUCAGGAUUCAACCCAAGGAAAUAUCAAGCUUAUGAAGGCCCAGGGAAGAGUUGUAAAUUCGUAAUACGUAAUCUGGAAGAAAGUGAUUCUGGAGUGUAUUUCUGUGCCACCUGGGCUGGCACAAUGAAUGGAUGGAUCAAGCUGUUUGGAAAGGGAACCAGGCUCAUAGUCAUUCCUACUGAUAAGAGUAUGGAUGGAGACUUCUCCCCCAAGCCCACGAUUUUCCUCCCUUCCAUUGCUGAAACAACACUGCAUAAGGCUGGGACCUAUCUCUGUCUUCUUGAGAAUUUUUUCCCUGAUGCCAUCCAGGUGUACUGGAAAGAGAAGAACAGCGAUAAGGUGUUGGAAUCCCAGCAGGGAAACACCAUGAAGAUUAAAGACACAUACAUGAAAUUCAGCUGGCUAACUGUGCCUCAGAAGUCAUUCAGUAAGGAGCACAGGUGCAUUGUCAAACACGAGACUAAAGCAGGAGGGCGUGAUCAAGAGAUUCUCUUUCCUGCAAUACAAAAAGGCACUGUAUCAGAAGCGAAGGGAAAUGAAAGAAAACCCGAUAUUGUUGGAGAUGAACAACGCACUGUAUUGGGAACUCCAGAUACGGAAAGAAAUGCAACUCAUGAUGGAUACCCUGAAGAUGUCCUGAUGCUGCAGCUCACACAGACGUCUGCGUACUACACGUACCUCCUUCUGCUCGUCAAGAGUGCUGUGUACCUGGCCAUCGUCACCUUCUCGAUGUUUAGAAGAACAGCCAUCUGUGGUGUGCAAAGAGCUCCUAACCAAUGAUGGUACAAAGAGUUCAUCUUUUUAUGCUGUUUAUUCUCUCUGGCAGUGUCUGCAGAGGAUUUAGCUGGGUGUUCUUUCUGAAUUUAGGUUAUGUAAGCACCCAUGUGUAUUUUUCUAUUAUGUCAUCAUGGCACAAUGGUUUUGCAAAGCAGUGGUCAAGUAAGCCUUCACACUGUGAGACAAGGAAUGGCCUAAGGUAGCUGUCACGCUACUCUCUCCAGUGCCCAGCAGCCCCUCCUGCCAACACAGCAUGCACAGCCUCGGUGUGGGCAGUGUGCAGCCUUUAGAUGUGCCCUUGGCAUCCUUUAACUGCAAAACAGCUUGCAAGCCUCCCAUGUUACACAUCUUGAAACAGCCUUUCUUGCUACUUGAAUUGUCAUUUUUUUUUUUGCAACAGGCAUCUUCAGAUAAAUAAAUUUCAAAAACUCCAAAGUCAACAUUUGUCUGUGUGUACAUGAAUUUGGUAAAAUCCACUUGAAAGUCCAUGUUAAGACAUAGGCUGACAACUGUACCAUGCCAUUCAGUGUCGCUUGUCAUUGGGGUCCAACAUUACAUUUGUAAACUCUUGCCUGAUAUUGUGGUCAUGACACUUUCCUUGGUACACUGGCCCAGCACAAGAUGUCUGUGGGCAUUUUAAAUGAUAUGAUAUAAAAGAGCUCUCUCUACAUAUAUAUAUCCUUUAAACAGAUAGAAGAACUCACCCUGUACAUAUAUUUACAUAUAAUAAUUUACAUAU